GCCCCCAUCGUCUAGUGGCCCAGGACGCGGCCCUCUCAAGGCCGAAACCAGGAUUCGAAUUCCUGUGGGGGCA
rnacentral:tRNA from 1 species